rnacentral:rRNA from 1 species
CGGACGGGUGAGUAACGCGUGGAUAACCUGCCGUAUACAGGGGGAUAACACUUAGAAAUAGGUGCUAAUACCGCAUAAGCGCACGGUUCCGCAUGGAACAGUGUGAAAAACUCCGGUGGUAUACGAUGGAUCCGCGUCUGAUUAGCCAGUUGGCAGGGUAACGGCCUACCAAAGCGACGAUCAGUAGCCGGCCUGAGAGGGCGGACGGCCACACUGGGACUGAGACACGGCCCAGACUCCUACGGAAGGCAGCAG